AUACGGAAGGUCCGGGCGUUAUCCGGAUUUAUUGGGUUUAAAGGGAGCGCAGGCGGAGAUGCAAGCGUGACGUCAAAUUUCGGGGCUCAACCCCGUCUCGCGUCGCGAACUGCGUCCCUUGGUUGCGGGAAGGGGAGGCGGAACUCGUGGUGUAGCGGUGAAAUGCAUAGAUAUCACGAAGAACUCCGAUCGCGAAGGCAGCCUUCCGGCCCGUCAACGACGCUCAUGCUCGAAGGUGCGGGUAUCAAACAGGAUUAGAUACCCUGGGAGUCCGCACAGUAAACGAUGGACACCCGCGGUUUGGCCUGUAUGGCUGAGCCGCCAAGCGAAAGCGUUAAGUGUCCCACCUGGGGAGUACGCCGGCAACGGUGAAACUCAAAUGAAUUGACGGGG
rnacentral:rRNA from 1 species